AGCGUGUGAUGACAAUAGUUUCGGUCCCAAAUGAACAUGUGAUUACUGUAAUGAGAUCUUCCGAUGUU